UACGUAGGGGCUAGCGUUGUCCGGAAUCAUUGGGCGUAAAGCGCGCGUAGGCGGCCCGGUAAGUCCGCUGUGAAAGUCAAAGGCUCAACCUUUGAAUGUCAGCGGAUACUGCCGGGCUAGAGUCCGGAAGAGGCGAGUGGAACUACCUGGUGUAGCGGUGGAAUGCGCAGAUAUCAGGAAGAACACCAACGGCGAAGGCAGCUCGCUGGGACGGAACUGACGCUGAGGCGCGAAAGCGUGGGGAGCGAAACAGG
rnacentral:rRNA from 1 species